rnacentral:rRNA from 1 species
GAGUUUGUAUCAUGGCUCAGGAUGAACGCUAGCUACAGGCUUAACACAUGCAAGUCGAGGGGAAACGACAUCGAAAGCUUGCUUUUGUAUGGGCGUCGACCGGCGCACGGGUGAGUAACGCGUAUCCAACCUGCCCACCACUUGGGGAUAACCUUGCGAAAGUAAGACUAAUACCCAAUGACGUCUCUAGAAGACAUCUGAAAGAGAUUAAAGAUUUAUCGGUGAUGGAUGGGGAUGCGUCUGAUUAGCUUGUUGGCGGGGUAACGGCCNCCAAGGCGUACGAUCAGUAGGGGUUCUGAGAGGAAGGUCCCCCACAUUGGAACUGAGACACGGUCCAAACUCCUACGGGAGGCA